rnacentral:rRNA from 1 species
GUGGAUUAGAUACCCUGGUAGUCCACGCCGUAAACGAUGAGAACUAGCCGUUGGUCUCCUUGAGAGGUUAGUGGCGCAGCUAACGCGAUAAGUUCUCCGCCUGGGGAGUACGGCCGCAAGGUUAAAACUCAAAUGAAUUGACGGGGGCCCGCACAAGCGGUGGAGCAUGUGGUUUAAUUCGACGCAACGCGAAGAACCUUACCUGGUCUUGACAUCCACGGAAUCCUGCAGAGAUGUGGGAGUGCCUUCGGGAACCGUGAGACAGGUGCUGCACGGUUGUCGCCAACU